rnacentral:rRNA from 1 species
CCCUAUGGGGUGCAGCAGGCGAGAAAACUUUGCAAUGUGCGAAAGCACGACAAGGUUAAUCCGAGUGGUUUCUGCUAAAGGAACCUUUUGCCAGUCCUAGAAACACUAGUGAAUAAGGGGUGGGCAAGUUCUGGUGUCAGCCGCCGCGGUAAAACCAGCACCUCAAGUGGUCAGGAUGAUUAUUGGGCCUAAAGCAUCCGUAGCCUGCUUUGCCAGUUUUCGGUUAAAUCCAUACGCUUAACGUAUGGGCUGCCGGAAAUACUACAAAGCUAGGGAGUGGGAGAGGUAGACGGUACUCGGUAGGAAGGGGUAAAAUCCUUUGAUCUAUUGAUGACCACCUGUGGCGAAGGCGGUCUACCAGAACACGUCCGACGGUGAGGGAUGAAAGCUGGGGGAGCAAACCGGAUUAGAUACCCGGGUAGUCCCAGCUGUAAACUAUGCAAACUCGGUGAUGCAUUGGCUUGAUGCCAAUGCAGUGCCGCAGGGAAGCCGUUAAGUUUGCCGCCUGGGAAGUACGUACGCAAGUAUGAAACUUAAAGGAAUUGGCGGGGGAGCACCACAAGGGGUGAAGCCUGCGGUUCAAUUGGAGUCAACGCCAGAAUCUUACCCGGAGAGACAGCAGAAUGAAGUCAAGCUGAAGACUUUACCAGACAGCUGAGAGGAGUGCAUGGCCAGGCGAUCAGCACACUGGCGCGUUACU